CCAGUGCAGCGAGGGGUGCUGGGGGCACUGGUGGCACUGGGGAAUUUGGGGUUGCUGGGGGGUUGCUGGUACUUAAGGAGCUGGUAUUGCUGGGGAGGGUUGGUGUGAGUUGCAGGACUGGUGCUACUGGGGAUGGACUGGUGUUAUCGAGGUGGUACAGGGGUAUCUGGUGUUGCUAAGGAGUAUGACUGGGGGAACUGGUGCUGGGGGGGGCUGCAAAUGGAGAUGAUGGCACAAUACGGGGCCCUGCUAGUGCAGUGUGCAUUCUGGGGGUGAUCUGGGUUUGGGAGCCUCGCAGAGGACACUGCCUCUUUGGGUCUGCCCAGCGCUCCAGGCCCGAGCAGGGACCCCCCCACGCUCCCUCGUCUCCCCGGCUCUCCCCCCUCCCCGGAUGAAGUGUGCGGAGACAGGCGGAGCGGCCCGUGGAAAAACACCAUGGAGGGCCCGCACAAAGGGGGUUUUAUUCAAAUUUGUUUAGAGUUUAGCGGAUUUGCAUGAAAAAUGUGUGAGAAAAGCCGGCUCCAAUGACCUCAUCCCCAGCUGCCAUUAAUGUUCAAUUAAGUGCUGAAUAGUAGCAAAGGGGGGACCGGCCGGGACGUGCAGAGAAUCCAGGCUCGGGCGCAGACUGUGAGAACCGGGCGGCCCCCCCGACCGUCUGGCCCCGGCCAGCCCCGACGGGGUCCCCCCGCCACCGCCCCCCUCCGCACCGGGAGCUGCGCUGAGCCUGUCGGGUCUCAGCCCGUCUGGGUUAUUCCCCGGAUUACUCGUAUCCUGAAGCAGAGUGCCCCCCCGGCAAAGGUGGGUGUUUGGGGGGGUAAUGCCCGCUCACUGCGCCGCCGGGGCUGUUGUCACUCACCCCGCAGCCCGCCUCGCCCGGCCCAGAGCCGCUCUCUGCCUGGCAGACGGUGUCAAAGCCCAAGUUCAAGUCCACGCCGAGGGGCUCUGCCCCGGGAUUCCCAGCUCCUUUCCAUCCUCCGCCUUUUGUUCGCCUCUGACAAUUGCUCUUUAUUUCUUACACACCCCCAGCCUCCCCCCAGCGCCCCCCUCCCUACCCGCACUUGGCACCGUUUAGCUGUCUGCCUGCAAACUUAACAACCCCAGUUCUUGGUAUAAGCACUCAAAUUAUCCCUCUUUCUACAUAUAAACACGGCCCGGGGUGUGCGGCUCUCCCCGGCCGCGGGGUCCCCCCGGCGCAGCCCGGCUACCCCGCACCGACCCCGGCCCCGGCCGGAGGAAGUUUUUGCUGCGGGACACGGCAGGAGAAAACGAGCCGGAUCCAGAACCCCCCGCUCUGCGGGGCUCCCCCGGGCCAGCUCUCAGGUGGUGUUGAGAGAAGAGGAUGAGUAGGAGAUAUCAAUGGCAGGCACACGUAUCCCAGGAGAGGGUGAAACACCAGCAGAGAUGGAGCAAGAAAUGAGCCUUGGACGGUUGCAGGAGAGAAAUCUAAACCCUCUUUGGAAAGUGGGGGGCACCUGCAGGCUGGGGGCACACCGUGAAACAUCCAUCCCUACAGGCACUGGAGAGGAUCGAGUGGCCAUCAGGGCCUAGUGUGGUCCCCAUUGGAGUUGAGGAAGGUGCAGGGCUGUGCAAGGUGCUCAGAGAGACCUCACACUACUUGUCUCUGGAGCUCUUACAGCAGAGAGGGGUGCAGGAGGAGACGCCUCCUGAACAUCAGCUGCUCUGGUGGGGCUGCACCAGACCUCCACUGCAGCCAAAAAUGACGUGGGGAAGAAGAGAUAUUGAACUCCUCUGCAGCAGGGUGGUGACUCAUGCCCACCAGGCUUGGCGUGAGGCUGCUCCCACCCGCGUUGGUCCUUCCUGUGCUAUCCACAAUUACCAUGCAAGGAGUUGAGCCCAGACAAGUGGAAAAAGAAGGAAGGUGGCAGAGACUGCAGUGACAGGGACCACAGCCUGGGAAUCCCUGUGCUGUUUGUGUGCCAGGAACUGGGAGCACAAUGACGUGAUGCAUCUUGUUAUGACACAGACAUGCAAGCAGGAUGAUCAUGGGGCAGGGUAGAGCAAAGGGGGAGAGGGUGGGAGAUAUCACUCAGGACCCAUCCUGCUGCUGGGAUUUUUCCAUGGGUAGAGUGGGACUGAAGGGGACAACUGGCCACCAAGGGAGCACAACAACACCUACAGUAAAGGGCUGAAGGUUGAACAUAGGAAGCAAAGGUGGUUUGGGCUCAGAUGUGAGAGAAGACCCACUUCUGGAGCACCUUCUCCAGUGGGAGAUGAUUUCAGAGGGAUCAUGGGGGUUUGAAUUGGCCAAAUUGGAGAGGUUAGGCUGAUGUUUCUAAUGUGAUUGCAACCAAGCCAGCUCUGUUGGGGAUGUCUGUUAUAUUUAUUCAUGGUAGGAAAGGCACGGACCAGCAGACUUUUAGAUCCCCACAAGCAUUAACAGGGGGAACGGGCUCUUUCCCAGGGAUUGACCAUGGACCAUGAUUGUACUACUUCACCACAGGGCUUUCCAGAUGUCAGCCGUGUCCCAAAAAAUAAAUGAUGAAGAAAGGGAGAAUAAACCCCAGUGCAAGCAAGGCAGCAAAACCUCGUCCUCUGCUCUCUCACUAAAGGUUCAGUCAACCCUAUUUUUGGGACCUGCAAGGUGAGCAAAUGCAGAGCAAAUGCCCCUCAGUAGGGGGACUCUCAUUUUGCCCUUAGACCAGGGACCUCCCACUUUCACAGCUUCUGGGUGCACAUGCCUGGUCCCACCACCACAGCCUUUUGUCCCAAGUGAGACCUGCCUUUGGGAAGGCAAUUUCACUCCCAUGUGCACCUUCCCUGGUCUUCUUUGGGGCUGUGUCUCCCCUCUAGCCUCCCUUUACCCUAUUAAUAUCCUUUGACUGUCCUCACACCUGCAGACAAUCUGGUCCCCAACCACCUCCACCUCCCCCCUUCCUCAAAAGCUUCCCUCAGCUGUCUUUAACUCGUAGCUGAAAUCUGCGGUAUGUAGGAGGAGAAAUUCAGUCUGACAGCAGUUUAAAACACCGCACUACUUGGCAGAUUUAAAUGCUAUUUUAAAUAUAAGCUAUGACACAACGGACAAAAAUAGCAUUGAAAAUACCCUGUCAUGUUCCAUAUUGCGAGGAAUAGGGAAGCAGACCAGGCUAGAAAGGAGCAGAGAGAGGGGCCAGAUGGAGAGGAGAGGUUAUUUUGUUUGUUUUAAAGAAACUGGAUGAAUGUAUUUUGUAUGUGACUGAGUAAAUGUGUUUUAUGGAACACAGAGCCAAAAAAAAUAAAUAAACCUUCUCAUGAAAAA